AAAUGUGAAAUAAAUCUAUGCUAUCUUUCAUAGUGUUACCACACAAACAUCUAAAAGGACUACUUUUGGUUUUGCAAUGACAGGGUCGAAAAAAGCCCCAGAUGGGCUGGAUUUUUUUUUUUUUCUGAUAUUUUCUUCCUCAAAGUCCAGUUGCUCUCCAAGUUCCUACCCCUCCCCUGCCCUUGCCUCAGACCUUUAAGACCAAAGACUGCAAAACCACAGUGCUGUACCUGCCACCUCCAAGGACUGGCGUCGAGGCCCAACCCAGGAAUGUUGGCUUAUUUACCUCCUGGGGGAAGCAGUUUAGGCCUCAUCAGAGCUGGGGAGCACAUCCCUUCAGAGCCCAUGGGUUUCCCAUUCCCUCCUGUCAGCCCUGGCCAUGAAAUCCUGGGGAUCUGGAGGGAGGGAGGAUAGUUAGAGAGUGAGAGGGGCGAGGGCUAGCCUUUUCCUAAUACCCCUGGGUUUGAGUUUAAUUUGCAAUAAAAUGGAAUCCCAGCACAUCA
rnacentral:lncRNA from 1 species